CACUUUGUGGUUCAUGACUGGGGUGAAGUCGUAACAAGGUAGCGCUAGGGGAACCUGGCGCUGGAUCACCUCCUUAAUACGAUGAU
rnacentral:rRNA from 1 species